UGUUGGGUUAAGUCCCGUAACGAGCGCAACCCUUGUCCUUAGUUACCAGCACGUUAUGGUGGGCACUCUAAGGAGGACUGCCGGUGGACAAACCGGAGGAAGGUGGGGAGUGACGUCAAGUCAUCAUGGCCCUUACGGCCUGGGCUACACACGUGCUACAAUGGUCGGUACAAAGGGUUGCCAAGCCGCGAGGUGGAGCUAAUCCCAUAAAACCGAUCGUAGUCCGGAUCGCAGUCUGCAACUCGACUGCGUGAAGUCGGAAUCGCUAGUAAUCGUGAAUCAGAAUGUCACGGUGAAUACGUUCCCGGGCCUU
rnacentral:rRNA from 1 species